AUUGAACGCUGGCGGCAUGCCUUACACAUGCAAGUCGAACGGCAGCACGGGUGCUUGCACCUGGUGGCGAGUGGCGAACGGGUGAGUAAUACAUCGGAACAUGUCCUGUAGUGGGGGAUAGCCUGGCGAAAGCCGGAUUAAUACCGCAUACGAUCUACGGACGAAAGCGGGGGACCUUCGGGCCUCGCGCUAUAGGGUUGGCCGAUGGCGGAUUAGCUAGUUGGUGGGGUAAAGGCCUAUCAAGGCGACGAUCAGUAGCUGGUCUGAGAGAACGGCCGGCCGCACUGGGACUGAGACACGGCCCAGACGCCUACGGGAGGCAGCAGUGGGGAAUUUUGGACAAUGGGCGAAAGCCUGAUCCAGCAAUGCCGCGUGUGUGAAGAAGGCCUUCGGGUUGUAAAGCACUUUUGUCCGGAAAGAAAUCCUUGGCCCUAAUACGGUCGGGGGAUGACGGUACCGGAAGAAUAAGCACCGGCUAACUACGUG
rnacentral:rRNA from 1 species